CCUGGAUUUCAGAUUUGCCUAUGCUCUGUGUUUUCAGAGACAUUUCACAGUAUACAACUUGAACGGAUUUCAAGCCUAGUAUAGUCUUUGUCAUUCAAGGAUUGACCCCUCAGCUUCCCAAUCAAAGAGUCAUGAGUCCUACAGCCCAGCUGGGUCCUACCUGCCAUCUCGACUGGUGACAGCUGCACUAUGUGCUGCGGACAGAAGCUUGGCCCCGACAGCGGGUGCCACUAUUUACUGACACAGCUGUGGUCUGGUGAUGCAUGUCCCUCGUGCCCGGGGACUCUAAGGUUGGGUUUGGAAUCGCAAGGCCUUCAGGUGCCCAUGAACCCAUCUUGUCUUGUGAUGCCUUCCACCAGCACAAAAUAGACUAAGCCAGCUGGAAUCCUGGAUGACUCCUGGUGCAAGAGAAGCAUAGGAAAGAGAAAUGCACUGUAAAGGAUCAUUGAUUGUAACAGGAUACAGAGCAUAGAAGAAUUCUAUUGUGCUCUCACUUUCCC
rnacentral:lncRNA from 1 species